rnacentral:tRNA from 1 species
GCCACGGUGGUCUAGCGGUUAGAACGCUGGCCUUGUAAUCCUGGGGUCUCGGGUUCGAAUUCCCGGCAGUGCCC